rnacentral:rRNA from 1 species
CGGAUUGCAGGCUGCAACCCGCCUGCAUGAAGCCGGAAUCGCUAGUAAUCGCGGAUCAGAAUGCCGCGGUGAAUACGUUCCCGGGUCUUGUACACACCGCCCGUCACACCGUGGGAGUCGGGAAUGCCCGAAGCCGGCGGCCUAACCGAAAGGGGGAGCCGUCGAAGGUGGGUUCGAUAAUUGGGGUGAAGUCGUAACAAGGUAAC